rnacentral:rRNA from 1 species
UACAGAGGUGCCAAGCGUUAGGCGGAAUCACUGGGCUUAAAGCGCGUGUAGGUGGGUCGUUAAGUGUCCGCGUGAAAUCCCACGGCUCAACCGUGGAACUGCCGGGCAUACUGGCGAUCUUGAGGCAUUCAGGGGCGAGCGGAACAAAUGGUGGAGCGGUGAAAUGCGUAGAUAUCAUUUGGAACGCCAAUGGUGAAAACAGCUCGCUGGGGGUGUACUGACACUGAGACACGAAAGCCAGGGGAGCGAACGGG